rnacentral:rRNA from 1 species
GACGAACGCUGGCGGCGUGCCUAACACAUGCAAGUCGAACGAGAAUCUUUGGAAUGAUUCUUUCGGGAUGAAUUCUAAAGAGGAAAGUGGCGGACGGGCGAGUAACGCGUGAGUAACCUGCCCAUAAGAGGGGGAUAAUCCAUGGAAACGUGGACUAAUACCGCAUAUUGUAGUUAAGUUGCAUGACUUGAUUAUGAAAGAUUUAUCGCUUAUGGAUGGACUCGCGUCAGAUUAGAUAGUUGAUGAGGUAACGGCUCACCAAGUCAACGAUCUGUAGCCGAACUGAGAGGUUGAUCGGCCGCAUUGGGACUGAGACACGGCCCAGACUCCUACGGGAGGCAGCAGUGGGGAAUAUUGCGCAAUGGGGGCAACCCUGACGCAGCAACGCCGCGUGCAGGAAGAAGGUCUUCGGAUUGUAAACUGUUGUCGCAAGGGAAGAAGACAGUGUCGGU